rnacentral:rRNA from 1 species
GUGUUGUUUGUUAAGGGCACACGGUGGAUGCCUUGGCAUUAUGAGCCGAUGAAGGACGUGUAAGGCCGCGAUAGGCCUCGGGGAGUUGCCAAUAGAGCGUUGAUCCGAGGGUGUCCGAAUGGGGAAACCUGGCCAUGGUUAUGUGUGGUUACCCAUCAGUGAAUUCAUAGCUGGUGUGGGGGUGACGCGGGGAAGUGAAACAUCUCAGUACCCGUAGGAGAAGAAAAUAAUUAAUGAUUCUGCUAGUAGUGGCGAACGAACGUGGAUGAGGCUAAACCGUAUGCGUGUGAUACCUGGCAGGGGUUGCGUGUGUGGUGUUGUGGGGCGUUGUUGGAGGAGGCUGCCGGCUCCUCGCUUGUUAUAUGUGUGUGUUAGCGGAAGUGGUUUGGAAUGGCCUGCCGUAGUGGGUGAGAGUCCCGUACGUGAAAAUGCAUGCAUGCGAGUGGAUGAUGUUCCCGAGUAGCAGCGGGCUCGUGGAAUCUGCUGUGAAUCUGCCGGGACCACCCGGUAAGCCUAAAUACUUAUGAUGACCGAUAGCGGAUAGUACCGUGAGGGAAUGGUGAAAAGUACCCCGGGAGGGGAGUGAAAUAGUACCUGAAACCGUGUGCUUACAAUCCGUCAGAGCCUCUUUUUGUUAGGUGAUGGCGUGCCUUUUGAAGAAUGAGCCUGCGAGUCAGCGGCAUGUCGCGAGGUUAACCCGUGUGGGGUAGUCGUAGCGAAAGCGAAUCCUAAUGAGGGUGUUUUUUUAGUGGCAUGUCCUGGACCCGAAGCGGGGUGAUCUACCCAUGGCCAGUGUGAAGCAGCUGUAAGAGGUUGUGGAGGCGCGAACCCACUUAGGUUGAAAACUGAGGGGAUGAGCUGUGGGUAGGGGUGAAAGGCCAAUCAAACUCCGUGAUAGCUGGUUCUCCCCGAAAUGCAUUUAGGUGCAGCGUUGUGUGUUUCUUGCUGGAGGUAGAGCUACUGGUUGGUUGAGCGGGACUACAAUCUUAGCAAUGUCAGCCAAACUCCGAAUGCCGGUAAUGUUAAGCAUGGCAGUGAGACUGCGGGGGAUAAGCUCCGUUGGUCGAGAGGGAAACAGCCCAGAUCGCCGGUUAAGGCCCCUAAGGGUGUACUAAGUGGAAAAGGAUGUGGGAUCGCGAAGACAGCCAGGAGGUUGGCUUAGAAGCAGCCAUCCUUGAAAGAGUGCGUAAUAGCUCACUGGUCGAGUGGUUCUGCGCCGACAAUGUAGUGGGGCUCAAGUACACCGCCGAAGCCGCGGCAGUCAACAAU